UAGUGAUCCGAAGGUACUGAGGGCGGAGCCCGGAGCUGGCAGAGGGCUACUGGGAGGGGGACGCUUCGCGCGGGCACGCGGAGCGAGGACAGUGACAGCCCCGCGCGCGCUCGGUAGUGCGCGGCCCCGGGGCUCCGGUCGGCCCUGGAGAGGCGCGCCGGGUCUGGGCCGCCGCCGUCUAGGGUUCUUAGUCCCUGGGCGUCCUCGGCGUCCGCGCGGCCUGAGUCCGGCAGCGCCGGGCCGCGCCCGUCUGGCCGGUCCCGGCUCGCGUCCCCUCCCCGCCGCCGUCCGGCAGGGCCUGACCCCCAGGUCCCCUUUCCGCUCCCGAGGCAGGGUCCUCGCGGCCCAUGCUGGCCGCCGGGGACCCACCCAGCCCAGAUCGCUUCCAGGCCGGUGUGCCGGCCACCAUGGUGGCCUUGAGGCCUGUGCGGCUGCUCCAGGGGGGCUAACAGUUCCCGAUCACAGGCCUUGGGGUGCGAAGGUCCCCGGGCCUGAGCCCCGCGCCAUGGCCGGGGCCAUCGCUUCCCGCAUGAGUUUCAGCUCGCUCAAGAGGAAGCAGCCCAAGACGUUCACGGUGCGGAUCGUCACCAUGGACGCCGAGAUGGAGUUCAAUUGCGAGAUGAAGUGGAAAGGGAAGGACCUGUUUGACUUGGUGUGCCGGACUCUGGGGCUUCGGGAAACCUGGUUCUUCGGACUGCAGUACACGAUCAAGGACACCGUGGCCUGGCUCAAAAUGGACAAGAAGGUGCUGGAUCACGACGUUUCCAAGGAAGAACCAGUCACCUUUCACUUCCUGGCCAAAUUUUAUCCCGAGAAUGCUGAGGAGGAGCUGGUCCAGGAGAUCACACAACAUUUAUUCUUCCUGCAGGUAAAGAAACAGAUUUUAGAUGAAAAGAUCUACUGCCCUCCCGAAGCCUCCGUGCUGCUGGCGUCUUACGCCGUCCAGGCCAAGUAUGGUGACUAUGACCCCUCGGUUCACAAGCGGGGAUUUUUAGCUCAAGAGGAAUUGCUGCCAAAAAGGGUAAUAAAUCUGUAUCAGAUGACUCCGGAAAUGUGGGAGGAGAGAAUUACUGCCUGGUAUGCAGAGCACCGGGGCCGCGCCAGGGACGAAGCCGAAAUGGAAUAUUUGAAGAUAGCUCAGGAUCUGGAGAUGUACGGCGUGAACUACUUUGCAAUCCGGAAUAAAAAGGGCACUGAGCUGCUGCUUGGCGUGGAUGCUCUGGGGCUGCACAUCUAUGACCCUGAGAACAGGCUGACCCCCAAGAUCUCCUUCCCGUGGAAUGAAAUCCGAAACAUCUCGUACAGCGACAAGGAGUUUACUAUUAAACCACUGGAUAAGAAAAUUGAUGUCUUUAAAUUUAACUCCUCAAAGCUCCGUGUUAAUAAGCUGAUUCUGCAGCUCUGUAUUGGGAACCAUGACCUAUUUAUGAGAAGACGGAAGGCCGAUUCUUUGGAAGUCCAGCAGAUGAAGGCCCAGGCCAGGGAGGAGAAGGCUCGAAAGCAGAUGGAGCGGCAGCGCCUUGCGCGGGAGAAGCAGAUGAGGGAGGAGGCCGAACGCACAAGGGACGAGCUGGAGAGGAGGCUGCUGCAGAUGAAGGAGGAAGCAACGAUGGCCAAUGAGGCCCUGAUGCGGUCUGAGGAGACAGCUGACCUGUUGGCUGAAAAGGCCCAGAUCACGGAGGAGGAGGCUAAACUCUUGGCACAGAAGGCCGCCGAGGCUGAGCAGGAGAUGCAGCGCAUCAAGGCCACGGCCAUUAGGACAGAGGAGGAAAAGCGCCUGAUGGAGCAGAAGGUGCUAGAGGCCGAGGUGCUGGCGCUGAAGAUGGCGGAGGAGUCAGAGCGGAGGGCCAAGGAGGCAGAUCAGCUGAAGCAGGACCUGCAGGAAGCCCGUGAGGCCGAGCGAAGAGCCAAGCAGAAGCUCCUGGAAAUCGCCACCAAGCCCACGUACCCGCCCAUGAACCCCAUUCCAGCACCGCUGCCUCCUGACAUACCGAGCUUCAACCUCAUCGGCGACAGUCUGUCUUUUGACUUCAAGGAUACUGACAUGAAGCGACUUUCCAUGGAGAUAGAGAAGGAGAAAGUGGAAUACUUGGAAAAGAGCAAGCAUCUGCAGGAGCAGCUCAAUGAACUCAAGACCGAGAUCGAGGCCCUGAAGCUCAAAGAGAGGGAGACGGCUUUGGACAUCCUGCACAACGAGAACUCUGACCGGGGCGGCACCAGCAGCAAGCACAAUACCAUCAAGAAGCCUCAAGCCCAAGGCAGAAGACCUAUCUGCAUUUGAGCCCUCAAAGUAGGCUGUUGCAGCACAGCCCUGGCUCUCCCGUCGGUUCUCACUGAGCUCUUACAGACACAGGACACUUCAUUUUCACUUAGAUUUUUCCUACUCCUAGGACGUAAACGGGAGCAUUCGCUCAUUCAUGCAUUUUCGUGUCUUGAUGUGAACCUGUUCUCAAAGCAGGCUGCUGGGCUCCAAUCAAUCAAGAACCCUGGUUAAUCAAGGGUUAAUGAAAGCAUGGAUUUAGCUUUUAAUGUGACUGCGGUUCUCUCAGCAUCACUAGAUUAAAUAGCGGCUGUUUUUUGCUGCACAAGAGGUUUGAGGCAAGUUCCAUUUUCUAGACUUGGGCAGUGGAUAACACGAAAGCUAAUUCAAGGGGUGUACCAAGGUCACUGCCACCUUCUGAAAUGCCGAGAGCAGGUCCGGCCUGGUUAGCCAAGGUCACCACUGCUGUGUCACUUAGUUCACAGUUCUUAGCCUCUCCUGAGGCCCAGUGUCUUCACCUGCAAAAUGGUCCUUGCCCCCAGGACUGUUGUGAGGACUGAAUAGGGGUCGCAGGUUGCUUAGGGAGGGCCGAAACCAAGCUGCUGGCCAGCCCGUGGCCAGGGAGGAGGGAGGUGUCAUGGGCUGUGCGGCCACGUUUACGCCCACCCUGGUGAGAAGCUUAUUCAUUCAGUGUGUUUGUGGCCAUGUGGUUCAAAAGCCACACUUGCCGGUUCCUCCUGAUAUCUGUUGUGGGCUUGCGAGAGCGUAUGUUUCUCCUGCUCACUCCCCUGCAUUUCCGCUUUUCCCAAUUCAUGAUCAGCGUAACUGGUGCGACAUUUGCAUCUGAGUCAGUGGCACUAGUGAUCAAAAAGCACCCCGGGUGAACCUGGGUGUGCUUAGUUCCUCCCGGGGAGCUAUGUGAGUUCUGGCAUCUGAGCCUGGUGGUCUGGCUGCAGUAGAGGGACGCAGGCGUCUUGCCCUAGGCCUCUGAACUGAUGACAGCAGCAGUGGCCAGGUGUGGCUUCGCCGUGUUUUAUCUUGGAGGGGGAACUGUGGGCCUGGAGCUUGCACACUUCAGAGUCUUGCUUUCAUCCCUCUCAAGAGACCGGUUUCAAUCUCAGUCCUGAGCUGGCCAGCAGACAAGCCGUCCUUCCAGUGCUCUCCGAGGGAGCCGAGGGUUUCAAAGGAAACUGACAUGAUGAGAAAUCAUGGAGCUGGUGGAGCUUGGAGAGCUGAUUUCAUUAGGCGAUGGUUUGAACUGUCAAAGACCAGCCGUGGUCCGGGGCAGGGUCGGGAGGAGAGGGGCCUUGACAUUUCUGCGAGGCUGCAGCCGCCUCUCUUGGAUCUCGGAGACGUAAAAGCCCAAUGUCAUCUUCCGUUUGUGCGGGCUCCCCUUGCAGCCGCAGGGCUGGUGAAGUAGAACUCCAAGAAGACCCGGGCAGGGAUACAUCACGGGGAGAGACGGCAGACGCGUGAAAGGCGUCUCCCACGGUUACGACUGUUGGCAGAGCCUUCCUGCUGGCCCUCAGUCUGCAGCGCCCGUCUUGGAGCCAGCUGCUAAACCAUGUGUUUAAUAUGUGGUCAACACGCCCGGCCCCCUUCUGUCCCCCCUGGGCCGAGUGGCUCUGCUUGCUUCAGGGACUGGGCAUUAACUGCUAAAGUACCUUCGGCCCUGACACACACACAGAGAAAAAUAAAAAGCAAUAGGCCGGCGCCGUGGCUCAACAGGCUAAUCCUCCGCCUUGCGGCGCCGGCACACCAGGUUCUAGUCCUGAUUGGGGCGCCGGAUUCUGUCCCGGUUGCCCCUCUUCCAGGCCAGCUCUCUGCUGUGGCCAGGGAGUGCAGUGGAGGAUGGCCCAAGUACUUGGGCCCUGCACCCCAUGGGAGACCAGGAGAAGCACCUGGCUCCUGGCUCCGGAUCACCGUGAUGCGCCGGCCGCAGAGCACCAGCCGCGGCGGCCAUUGGAGGGUGAACCAACGGCAAAAGGAAGACCUUCCUCUCUGUCUCUCUCUCUCACUGUCCACUCUGCCUGUCAACAAAUAAAAAUAAAAAUAAAAUAAAAUAAAAAAAAAAUCAAAAGAGAAAUCAAACUUUAAAAAAAAUAAUAAAUAAAAAAAUAAAAAGCAAGCGGCACUGGCUCCGGGCUCUAGAACCUUCUCGUCAUCGUUGUUGUGGCUGAAACACAGCAGAGGCAGAAAGGAGAAAAGAAAGAGUGGGGAGCGGGUGCGCUGGCAGCACCGGAUGUGGGCGUAGAGCCCUAGAAGAAAUGGCAGGGCUACCCAAGUCCUUCUGGCUCCUGGCUCUGUGGAAGCUCUUGAAGGCAUUGGGAGCCACGGGCCAGUCUCUGGAAUGCUGCUCCUGGGUGUGAUGCCCUGGGCUCAUCCCUGGGCUCACCCCCGCACACACACAUGUGCACUGAAUUUCCAGGUGUCUCCUGUUGUGGGCUUACAGCUUUCUUCCUUGUUUCCAGUGGCUCUCUCUAUACAAGGUCCUCCUGGCCUCUUUCCCAGCGCCCAGGCCCUGCUGCUGUUUCAGUCAGGUCAAGCUCUCUGGGGGGGUUCCUGAGCCUGGGAGCCCACUCUUGGGAAGUGCCCGAGGACACUGCUGGGCCUUACUAGAGGCAGGGAGGCGCCCUGUGUGGCACCUGGGCGCUGAGAGGUGUCCCGUGCAGCGCUCCGCCUGCGCCUGCGCCUGCUCUGUCGCCGCACUGGUGGGAGGGGAGAGCGGGAUGCAGACUCGUUCUGGAAGCUCCAGGUUGUGUCUCGUGAUCUUUGCCAUGAUUUCUCUUGCAAUGUGGGCAGUUUUUAAACAGCAUCAGUAGCAGGAUCUCUGCACCUUUUUCCUGAGGUACUCACCCAGAGUGCUCGGCCGAUACCAGUGAGCCUCCCACCUGCCCACUGAGGUGAAGCGGGCCCAUUAGUCAGUCUGUCGGGUGGAGGCACUGAGUAGCCAAGGGCCCCCACCAGCAUCACCGGGCCAGCUGGCGACAGGCAGACACAGUUCCAGGCGUCUUCCCGCGGCUCUCAGUCCCUAAAGCAUUAGCACACAAAAGCCCCCCAACCCUGCCCCUGCCCCGGGUUUCCCUGGCUGAUUUCUCUCCAGAGCAGAUCAAGCAGCUAAUCCCAAAUUGGAUUUGUUCACUGGGAUGGACUUGGCCCUUCAUCCCAGCCCUGUUUAGGGAGAAGUGUGUGGAUGGCUCGCUCCCCGUGCUCCAGAUGGCAUCGGGGUGCAAAGCUGUCCCUAGCAAGGCUGCAGCAGGGCUUCGUCUGGCCACUUGACAACAGCCACCCUCCCCGCUUGGCUCCCACCGGGAAGAGGGACUGUCUCUCACCCCCACACCCGGAGGUUCUGCUGGAAUUUGCUGCUGCAGGAGCUGGCUGUCACCUUCCUGCUCUGGACUCCGCCGUCUCCUGUGCAUCCACGCGCCAGAGAAUCUGCAUGUCCUUUUGCAUCUCAGCCCUCCCCCGCUCCUUCAUUUUCAGUAUGUGGUGGUGGAAAGAGGAAGUAUAACAUGAUUUCAGGGCUUGCAUUGCAAUUCCUCCGCAUUUUUAUGGGACAAGCAGAGUCUCCGCGUCGGGAGUUAUUAGCUCACCUUGCAGAGCGCCAAGUCCCGAGUGGCCUUCUUUGAAGAGCUCUAGCAGGGGACGCAGCCCCUCCCCAGGAUCUGCCACCUCUGCUGCUCCUGGCACCAUCGGGAUGGCUGGACACCCCAGGAACCUCCCACGGGGGCUGCUGGCUGGGGGCUCCGGGACUUUCCCCAGCGGAGAGCCCAGCCCCCUUCCUGUGCAGUGGCCUUGAACUGUGAGCCAGUGGAGAUUUCUCUGGGCGAUCCGGUUCUCCUGACCAGAGGCAUUCAUUCUUUCAGAAGUUUGUGUCUAUCUGUCUGUCUGUCUGCCUACUGUGGGAUCCUGCACUGCCCAGAGCUGACCUCAACAGUCCAGUCUGGGGAGGGGGCAGAGGGAGCCACGUGCAGAAGUCCCUCAGAGACCGGAAGGCUGGUGCCAGCCACCCACCCCACCCAAGUCUCCAGGACAUCCAUCUCCGAGGGUGUGGACGUGGGGUGCAGUGAAGCACUGCUUGGCUCCUGCACGUUGUCUGGGAGCCUGUCCGUGGCUCGGGGCCACCGGAAAGCCGGGUCCUCUGGCUGGUGGGGGACGUGCAGGGCUGUGGCGGUACAGAGCAGUCGCCCCCUUCGGCCUCAGCCUCUCCCACCUGUGGUCAGCAGGGACCCCACGGGUACUUCUCACUGGCCCAGCACCGAGCUCCACAGCCCCAGUGUGUUGCUGACGCGGAUCACCUCCAGGCCCCUGCUGUUAAGCCCCCGCUGGCCUCUGCCGGACCUGCGCUUCGUUUGGCUGCGGCCCUUGUCCCCUAGGCACAGGGUCCUGGGUGCCCCCUCCCGGCACAAGCCUGAGCACCUGUGCACUCCCAGUCGGCGCCUGCACGGGCUGGCACACGGCUCUCCUCUGUGCCUACGGCCGCGGCGCCACAGCCAGCCGGUGGCUUGCUCACCGCCGUGGCCGGCCAGAGCUCCUCAGGUGCUCCCACUGGGCCCUUCACGCAGAACAGCUGAUGGGUCUUAGGCUUCUUAGCUGGCCCCAGCCGAGGACCUGCAGGUUCCCUGAGAGCAGCGAGGCCGGCUCUGGCCACUCUUUUUUGGCUUCUUGGAAACUUUGUUGGCUUUCUCAGGCUCACGAAAAUCCUGCCUUUUUCCACUGUCAGGCUGAGCUGUUGGUGUCCUGGGCUGGCUGCAGCCUUCUUAGGCGGCCUUGGCCUGAGGGAGCCAGCACUGUGUCCACCCCAGCCCCUAGGCAUGGCGGGGGUGCCCAGCUGUGUCUGCCCCAGCUCGGGAGAGUCCUCGGGCUGCAGCCCCUGCCUGCUGUCAGCAGCCCCUCGUGUAGAUUUACUCUGCAACAGUGGCCCAGGGCACAGGAGCAUGGUGGCGGUCUAUAACAGGUUUAUACAGCGUUGUCGGGCUUCGUUUUCUUGUUUAACUGCUGUGCGUGUGCGUUGGAAGCCCGGAAAAUGCCAAGCCGUGUGGCCACCAGGGAGCCGGCCAGCGUCUGAGCCCUGGCAGGAGCACCUGGGCCCCAGGCGCAGACGGGGAGAGAGGCGACAGACAGAGCGCUUCCGCUCUCCCUGGGCACGAGAACCAGCGGCCACCUCCCCCCACGAGAGUCUGGGGCCCUGGGGGGGGAGAAUGAGAGCUGAGCUGGGAUUUCAGAAACCCACGCCUGCCUGUGGGCCUGGAGCCCGGGUCUAUUGCGAGCAGGGCUCUGGCCAUCAUGAUUUCCUUAUAACACUUUGGAUGUCCUUGACCCGGCCCAUGGCGACAGCCAGCAAGGCCACGCCGUUGACCUGUGGCCGCCUGGUGUGUCUGGUGUGUCUGACCGAGGCCCCAGCAGCACCCAGGCCGGGCUAGGCAGCAGCCCGUGGCCGCGUAACACCUCAGUGUCUGUUGGCAUCCUGGGGACGGGUUUCUCUCUCUCCUCCGCGCUCUUCUUUUCCCAAAGUCCAGACGCUGACAGGCCUGGGCCCUCGCCGCCCCUGGGGAGAGCAGCCGGGCGGGAGUCAGCCUCUCCCACUGGCCCUGGUGGGCUUCGAGGGCGGCCCCAGCCAUUUCCAGCAAUGUCAGACGGCGUUCCUGCCUGUGGGGCCCGAGCUCGCCUCCUCUUGAGGCCGCCCGUGGAGCCCUGUUUUUUAUUCUGGGGGACUGUUGUAAUUUAAAUGAUUGUUGUAAUAAAAACUCUAAGCUGUACAAA